GAUGAAGAACGUAGCGAAAUGCGAUACUUGGUGUGAAUUGCAGAAUCCCGUGAACCAUCGAGUCUUUGAACGCAAGUUGUGCCCGAAGCCAUUAGGCCGAGGGCACGCCUGCCUGGGCGUCACACGUCGUUGCCCCCCCCCAUCUACUCCUUCGGGAUUGCGGGGGGCGGAUGAUGGCCUCCCGUGCGCCUCGCCGCGCGGUUGGCAUAAAUGCCAAGUCCUCGGCGACGCACGCCACGACAAUCGGUGGUUGCGAAACCUCGGUUGCCCGUCGUGUGCGGUCGUCGCGCAUCGAGGGCUCGAAAAAAUUGCCGAGUUCCGGCUCGGCUUUCAACGCGACCCCAGGUCAGGCGGGGUUACCCGCUGAAUUUAAGCAUAUCAAUAAGCGGAGGA
rnacentral:misc_RNA from 1 species